rnacentral:rRNA from 1 species
UACGUAGGGUGCGAGCGUUGCCCGGAUUUAUUGGGCGUAAAGGGCGCGUAGGCGGUGAGACACGUUCGUUGUGAAAUCGCCCGGCUCAACUGGGCGGGGUCAGCGGAUACGGUCUCACUUGAGCAAGCUAGGGGGCAAUGGAAUUCCCGGUGUAGUGGUGGAAUGCGUAGAUAUCGGGGAGGAACACCAGUGGCGAAGGCGGUUGCCUGGGGCUUUGCUGACGCUGAUGCGCGAAAACGUGGGGGAGCGAGUCCGG